rnacentral:rRNA from 1 species
GACGAACGCUGGCGGCGUGCCUAAUACAUGCAAGUCGAACGAACCGCGACUGAGUGCUUGCACUUGGUCAAGGUGAGUGGCGAACGGGUGAGUAACACGUGGGUAACCUACCUCAUAGUGGGGGAUAACAGUCGGAAACGACUGCUAAUACCGCAUAGGACAUGGAAUCACAUGAUUCUGUGAGGAAAGGUGGCGCAAGCUAUCGCUAAGAGAUGGACCCGCGGUGCAUUAGCUAGUUGGUAGGGUAAGGGCCUACCAAGGCGAUGAUGCAUAGCCGACCUGAGAGGGUGAUCGGCCACAUUGGGACUGAGACACGGCCCAAACUCCUACGGGAGGCAGCAGUAGGGAAUCUUCCGCAAUGGACGCAAGUCUGACGGAGCAACGCCGCGUGAGUGAAGAAGGUCUUCGGAUCGUAAAGCUCUGUUGUUAGAGAAGAACAGCGCAUAGAGUAACUGUUAUGCGUGUGACGGUAUCUAAUCAGAAAGCCACGGCUAACUACGUG